GGCUAGGGGGUCAUCGCGACUUACCAAACCAUUGCAAACUCCGAAUACCGAUGAGUGCGAGCUUGGGAGACAGACGUCGGGUGCUAACGUCCGGCGUCAAGAGGGAAACAACCCAGACCGCCAGCUAAGGUCCCUAAAAUUGGCUAAGUGGGAAACGAAGUGGGAAGGCUAAAACAGUCAGGAUGUUGGCUUAGAAGCAGCCAUCAUUUAAAGAAAGCGUAAUAGCUCACUGAUCGAGUCGUCCUGCGCGGAAGAUGUAACGGGGCUAAAACUAUAUGCCGAAGCUGCGGAUUUGCAAUUUAUUGCAAGUGGUAGGAGAGCGUUCUGUAAGCCUGCGAAGGUGUCUUGUAAAGGAUGCUGGAGGUAUCAGAAGUGCGAAUGCUGACGUGAGUAACGACAAUGCGAGUGAAAAACUCGCACGCUGAAAGACCAAGGGUUCCAGUCCAACGUUAAUCGGGGCUGGGUGAGUCGACCCCUAAGGCGAGGCCGAGAGGCGUAGUCGAUGGGAAAUUGGUUAAUAUUCCAAUACUUCUGUGUAAUGCGAUGAGAGGACGGAGAAGGUUAAGUCAGCCUGGCGUUGGUUGUCCAGGUGAAAGGUUGUAGGCAUGCAUCUUAGGCAAAUCCGGGGUACUCUAUGCUGAGAACUGAUAGCAAGCUGCACUUGUGCAGUGAAGUGGCUGAUACCAUACUUCCAGGAAAAGUCUCUAAGCUUCAGUUACACAGGAAUCGUACCCGAAACCGACACAGGUGGUCAGGUCGAGUAGACCAAAGCGCUUGAGAGAACUCUGCUGAAGGAACUAGGCAAAAUGGUACCGUAACUUCGGGAGAAGGUACGCUGUCG
rnacentral:rRNA from 15 species